rnacentral:lncRNA from 1 species
UGAUGUCAAUUUUGAUCUUAACUUUUGAGCGACUUCAAAGUUUAAAAUGACAAAUAGGUAAACAACACAAAAAAAAAAAAAAAUCGUUAUUAUCUAAAAACUUAAACUAUUAGAGAACGAUAUUUUUAUAUUUUAUCUUCAAUACUCCCCUUCAGACUGGAUUCGAGAUUUUUGAUAAGCCAAAGAUGUGGAUUUGAAUUAAACAUGAGAAAAUUAAAUGAGAUUUUUGGUAAGCCCAAAAAGUAGAUUUGAAUUAAACGAGAGAAAAUUAAAUGAGAUUUUUGGUAAGCCCAAAACAUAGAUUUGAAUUAAACGAGAAAAAAUUAAAUGAGACUAAGAGCCUAAUGGGGUUCGAACAUAGUAAGUCAGUUUGGGCUUGAGAUUUGUGAUAAGUCCAUGAUGUGGAUUCGAAUUAAAUGAAAAAAAAUUAAACAAGAUUUUUGAUAAGCCCAAAAUGCGAAUUUGAAUUAAACGGAAGAAAAUUAAAUGAGACUAGGAGCCUAAUAAGAUUUGAACUCAAUGAGUCUUGGGUUGAGAUUUUUGAUAAGUCCGUGA